rnacentral:rRNA from 1 species
GAUGAACGCUGGCGGCGUGCCUAAUACAUGCAAGUAGAACGCUGAAGGAGGAGAUUGCCCUUCUGGAUGAGUUGCGAACGGGUGAGUAACGCGUAGGUAACCUGCCUGGUAGCGGGGGAUAACUAUUGGAAACGAUAGCUAAUACCGCAUGACAACAGUUAUAGCGUGAUAACUGUUUAAAAGGGGCAACUGUUCAACUACCAGAUGGACCUGCGUUGUAUUAGCUAGUUGGUGAAGUAACGGCUCAACAACGGGACGAAACAUAGCCGGCCGGAGAGGGGGGUGCGGCCACCGGGGACAGGAACCAGGCCCAAAACCCGAAGGGAAGCAGCCGGAGGGGAACUUCGGCAAUGGGCGGAAGUCUGAACGGACAACGGCGGGUGGAUGAAGGAAGUUUUCGGGUCGUAAAGAUCUGUUUUAUGGGAAGAACGAGAGUGGGAGUGGAAAGUUCACACUGUGACGGUAUCUAACCAGAAAGGGACGGCUAACUACGUG